rnacentral:rRNA from 1 species
UGGGGAAUAUUGCACAAUGGGCGCAAGCCUGAUGCAGCCAUGCCGCGUGUGUGAAGAAGGCCUUCGGGUUGUAAAGCACUUUCAGCGGGGAGGAAGGCGGUGAGGUUAAUAACCUCAUCGAUUGACGUUACCCGCAGAAGAAGCACCGGCUAACUCCGUGCCAGCAGCCGCGAUAAUACGGAGGGUGCAAGCGUUAAUCGGAAUUACUGGGCGUAAAGCGCACGCAGGCGGUCUGUCAAGUCGGAUGUGAAAUCCCCGGGCUCAACCUGGGAACUGCAUUCGAAACUGGCAGGCUAGAGUCUUGUAGAGGGGGGUAGAAUUCCAGGUGUAGCGGUGAAAUGCGUAGAGAUCUGGAGGAAUACCGGUGGCGAAGGCGGCCCCCUGGACAAAGACUGACGCUCAGGUGCGAAAGCGUGGGGAGCAAACAGG